rnacentral:misc_RNA from 1 species
GAUGAAGAACGUAGCGAAAUGCGAUACGUAAUGUGAAUUGCAGAAUUCAGUGAAUCAUCGAGUCUUUGAACGCACACUGCGCCCCCUGGUAUUCCGGGGGGCAUGCCUGUCCGAGCGUCAUUUCAACCCUUAAGCCUAGCUUAGUGUUGGGAAUCUGCUGUAUUGCAGUUCCUCAAAUACAACGGCGGAUCUGUAACAUCCUCUGAGCGUAGUAAAUUUUUAUCUCGCUUUUGUUAGGUGUUGCAGCUCUCAGCCGCUAAACCCCCCAAUUUUUGUGGUUGACCUCGGAUCAGGUAGGAAUACCCGCUGAACUUAAGCAUAUCAAUAAGCGGAGGA